rfam:Brassica napus, WGS project CCCW01000000 data, contig: 31632
AAAAUAUAAGAACAUGUCCGUUAACUUUUAACUAAAAAAAUUAAGAACCGGUACUUAAAUAAGAGUUUUAAGAGCCAAUUUUUAACUUUUUUAGCUAAAAGUUAAGAGACGGAUUUUUAUAUUAC